AAAGUUGGGGUUUUUUGGUUUUUUUUUUUUUACUUUCUCCUGUCAUUAAAUGUUGAUCUCCUCACUAAUUCACUCAUUAACAAGAUGAAGUACAUUCAUCCAAAAAGAAAGCCACCCUUGCCAGGGACUUUGAAGGAAAAACAGAAGGGAAUUGUAAUGGUCUGAACAAGUGACGCAGACCUAAAUCUUUCACAGAGUUACAAGCCGUUUGCUCCAGUACAGAGCCAGGACAAACUUACAGGGUUGGUUUGUUUUGUUUUCUUCUAAAAUAUCAUAAGAUAUUAAAAUGGUUGGA